ensembl:snRNA U6 U6 spliceosomal RNA
GUGCUCACUUUGGCAGCACAUAUAUUAAAACUGAAACAAUACAAAGAAGACUAGCAUGGUCCCUGCACAAGGAUGAUGUGCAAAUUCAUGAAGCGUUCUGUAUUUUU